rnacentral:rRNA from 1 species
UACGUAGGGACCAAGCGUUGUCCGGAAUCAUUGGGCGUAAGGAGCGUGUAGGCGGCUUGUUAAGUCUUGCGUGAAAUCUCGGGGCUCAACCCCGAGCGGUCGUGAGAAACUGGCAGGCUAGAGUGCGGGAGAGGAGAGUGGAAUUCCUGGUGUAGCGGUGAAAUGCGCAGAUAUCAGGAAGAACACCCGUGGCGAAGGCGGCUCUCUGGAACGCAACUGACGCUGAGACGCGAAAGCGUGGGGAGCAAACAGG